rnacentral:rRNA from 1 species
UACGGGGGGGCAAGCGUUGUUCGGAAUUACUGGGCGUAAAGGGUUUGUAGGUGGCUUGUUAAGUUAGACGUGAAAUCCCUCAGCUUAACUGGGGAACUGCGUCUGAUACUGGCGAGCUUGAGUGCAGGAGAGGAACGCGGAAUUCCAGGUGUAGCGGUGAAAUGCGUAGAUAUCUGGAGGAACACCGGUGGCGAAGGCGGGUCUCUGGGCAGUAACUGACGCUGAGGAGCGAAAGCGUGGGGAGCGAACAGG